rnacentral:tRNA from 1 species
GACCCGGUAGCUCAGUGGAUAGAGCACAACGCUACGAACGUUGGGGUCGCGAGUUCGAGUCUCGCCCGGGUCG